UACGUAGGUGGCAAGCGUUGUUCGGAAUUAUUGGGCGUAAAGGGCGCGUAGGCGGCUUUUCAAGCGUGCGGUGAAAGCUCGGGGCUUAACUCCGAGUCUGCCGUGUGAACUGGGAGGCUUGAGUCUGGUAGAGGUCGAUGGAAUUCCGGGUGUAGCGGUGGAAUGCGUAGAGAUCCGGAAGAACACCGGUGGCGAAGGCGGUCGACUGGGCCAGUACUGACGCUGAGGCGCGACAGCGUGGGGAGCAAACAGG
rnacentral:rRNA from 1 species